GCGAGAGUGGCGGAACUGGUAGACGCACUGGAUUUAGGUUCCAGCGCCGCAAGGCGUGGGGGUUCGAGUCCCUUCUCUCGCACCA
rnacentral:tRNA from 1 species